UUCCCCCCCUGAGUACUUCGCCGAUAGCGAGGACGACGCAAGUUCAGAGGAAGCUGCAGGGCCCAGCGGUUCCCGCAGACAUCCACCAGCGACAACUGCUUUCGUGGUGUCGGGCCCUGCAGCUGUUGCUGGGCCAAGUGGCCUUACACAGCCACCGGCUACCCCCCCGGUGCUGCGGCCUACCCCCCAGGUGCCUCGGCCUACCACCCAGGUGCCGC